rnacentral:rRNA from 1 species
UACAGAGGUGGCAAGCGUUGUUCGGAAUUACUGGGCGUAAAGGGCGCGUAGGCGGCCUCGCAAGUCCCGUGUGAAAUCCCUCGGCUCAACUGAGGAAUGGCACGGGAAACUGCGGGGCUUGAGUUCGGGAGAGGGAAGCGGAAUUCCGGGUGUAGCGGUGAAAUGCGUAGAUAUCCGGAGGAACACCGGUGGCGAAGGCGGCUUCCUGGACCGGCAUUGACGCUGAGGCGCGAAAGCUAGGGGAGCAAACGGG